AAGUCGUAACAAGGUAACCGUAGGUGAACCUGCGGUUGGAUCAUUAUAAAUUUUUUUAUAAUAUUAUAGUAAGUAUUAUUAUUAGAAUUAUAAAUAAUUUUUUGCUCCUUUUUUUUUUAUUAAAAAAAGUUUUUUGAGCGAAAGUUUUUUAUUAUUUUAUAAUAAUCUUCUAUAAUAAAAACACUAUGUGCACUAUAAUAGUUUUUUGGGUAUUAUACUUUUUUAAAGUAUAUACCCAGUUAUAUAUUAAACCUUAAUUUUAUAAUAAGUCUGACGUUUUUCAUAUAAUUGAAAUAUAUAAAAACAACUUUUGACAACGGAUCUCUUGGCUCUC
rnacentral:misc_RNA from 1 species